rfam:Ricinus communis cultivar Hale ctg_1100012337742, whole genome shotgun sequence.
ACGCGACGGGGUAUUGUAAGUGGCAGAGUGGCCUUGCUGCCACGAUCCACUGAGAUUCAGCCCUUCGUCGCUCCGAUUCGU